ensembl:lncRNA
GGAUGGAAGAGGGAGAGAGUUAAUGUUAACUGAGGAUGAAAUAAAUUAAACUGAACCAUUGGCAAUCAUGUCAUUAUAAUCAUAAUCAACUUCUUUCUCAGGAGUGUGUGAAGGAGCUGAAUCUGAGGAACAUGGUGUCCAUCUCCAUGGAUGGACCCAAUGUAAAUUGGAAAUUCUUUGAGCUUCUACAGCAAGAGCACGCUGAGCAGUAUGGUGGUGUCCAGCUGGUGAAUGUGGGUAGCUGUGGCCUCCACACCCUACAUAACGCAUUCAAAUGUGGAUUCUCUAUGUGGCAACUGGAGAAGGUGUUGAGGGGGAUGCACUACCUUUUUCAUAACACACCAGCAAGGAGGGAUGACUUCAUUGCCCUCACCAAAUCCUCAGUCUUCCCGCUACCAUUCUGUGGGCAUCGGUGGAUUGAAAACCUGCCAGUUGUAGAAAGGGCCAUAGAGGUAUGGCCUUCACUGGUGACAUACGUGGAUGCAGUGCGGACAAAGAAGGUUCCAAACCCUGGAACAGCCUCAUUUGACACCAUAGAAGCAGCCAAGCAAGAUCCACUCAUCUUGCCUAAGCUACAAUUCUUCAUGGCCAUCUCAAGGACGUUCACUCCCUUUCUGACGAAGUAUCAGACUGACGCACCAGUCAUGCCAUUCCUUUGCAAGGACUUGGUGGAGUUGUUCCAGAGUAUGCUUAGGCGUUUUGUCAAGAGGGAGCAUCUCCAAAACAUCACUCCAGUGCAGCUGGUGAGGCUGGAUGUGGCUGACCAAAAGAUCUGGGUCAACUUGAAGGAAGCUGACAUAGGCUUGGGUGCAGAGGCAGCCCUGAAGGUGAUGUGAUUAUCCAACAGUUUGGGAACUUCAUGUCUGUCGAGGCUAAAAGUGAGAAGUUUUUGUCCUUCCGGCCCAUCGAAACCAGGCUUGAUGUGUUUCUGCAUGGCUUUCUCAGCCAACCCUACCCUGAGCUUUGGGGUUUCUGUCAGAAGAUCCUACUGUUAUCCCAUGGGCAGGCAACGGUCGAGAGAGGCUUCUCGAUAAAUAAGGAGGUGGAAACUGUAAACCUUAAGGAGGACGGUGUCAUUGCCCAGAGACUGGUAUGUGACUACGUUGCCGUUUGUGGGGGGGUUGCCAAUGUCCCUCUCACCAAGGAGCUGCUGACCUCGGUGGGAUCAGCAAGGUCAAAAUAUAGAGAACACCUUGACCUGGAAAAGAGGAAGAGCCAAGGUGCUGCACAAGGGCAGAAGAGGAAAGCUGCAGAAGAACACGUCGCUGAGCUUAAGAAGAAAAAGAAAACUCUCCUGGAGGUAUGUGGCUCUCUGGAGAAAGAUGCUGACCUGUUUGCCGAGCAAGCUGAGGGUAAGUCCGGCACCUUGAUGGCUCAGCUCAUAACGAAAUCAAACAUCCUCAGGAAGAGAUGCAAGGAAAAAUUAAGUGAGCUGAAAAGGAUUGAGGCAGAACUGGAGAUUAAGGCCACAGAACUGAGGCUCACCUGAGGCUCAUUGUGUGUGUGUGUGUGUGUGUGUGUGUGUGUGUGUGUGUGUGUGUGUGUGUGUGUGUGUUAGGUUCAUUCGUUGUUUUUUUUUGUUAGAGGUUUGCAGCUGCACUUGUUAUUUCAUGAACCACAGAGCCAAUGCUGUUUGACUCAAUUUACUAAAUUUGUUUGUGUAUUUUUGUAUAUUAUUUUGUAAACUUCUUGUUCGGAAACAUGCACUUGUUCUUACAGUUUUUGAACCAGAGAGCACUGAGUAUCACUUUAUGUUCAAUAAACAGACAAAAAGUAAACUUGAAUGAGUCUCAUUGAGUGACACACAUGCUACGCUUGGGUUGUAAUACAGCGGGAUCCCCCCGACCAUCGCGGGUUUAAGGUCUUAAAUUUCAUUCAAGGUGGUCUUAAAAAGGUCUUAAAAAGUCUUAAAUUUGACUUGCUGAAACCUGCAGAUACCCUGUUAAAGGAAUUGAAUUUGUAUGCUGGACCCAGUCUCAAGCUUUCAUUAGUGAACGAACUUGUGUGCUUAACUUAGGUUAAUCUAACUCUCCAGGUGAAAUUCCUGGGGUGGCGUUGUUGGCAACAUGUCACUAGUUCUUUAACUGAACUA